GGGGCAGUGACAAAGGUAAUGCUGGUGACACAGAUAUAGGAAACCCUCCUUCGACCAGACAAUGCAAUUUCAGUUGGGGCUUGGCGGUCUACUCUGCCCGCGAAGGUCAUCUGAAAUUGUGACACGGCUAAGUUGGACAGUGUGUGCACUCCAGUCAACUCUGUGCCCGUGAUGGAAGAAACACUCAGCUCAGUGCCAACACAGCGGUGUGAAAAACACUGCAUAACAAGCAGCGCUGCGUUCAAAAUCCCCCCGUUCUGCAAAAACCCACAACGGUACAGAAGCAUUAUCAGCAAAAGUUAAAAGUACUUGUUUUGCAGAAACUUGACCCUGUGACUGAUGUAAUAAAUUACAUUAUGAAUACUGACGCA